rnacentral:rRNA from 1 species
GAUGAACGCUGGCGGCGUGCUUAACACAUGCAAGUCGAACGGAAAGGCCAGUGCUUGCACUGGUACUCGAGUGGCGAACGGGUGAGUAACACGUGGGUGAUCUGCCCUGUACUUCGGGAUAAGCUUGGGAAACUGGGUCUAAUACCGGAUAGGACAACUUUUUGGAUAUUGUUGUGGAAAGCUUUUGCGGUAUGGGAUGAGCUCGCGGCCUAUCAGCUUGUUGGUGGGGGAAUGGCCUACCAAGGCGUCGACGGGUAGCCGGCCUGAGAGGGUGUACGGCCACAUUGGGACUGAGAUACGACCCAGACUCCUACGGGAGGCAGCAGUGGGGAAUAUUGCACAAUGGGCGCAAGCCUGAUGCAGCGACGCCGCGUGGGGGAUGAAGGCCUUCGGGUUGUAAACUCCUUUCGCUAGGGACGAAGCGUAAGUGACGGUACCUGGAGAAGAAGCACCGGCUAACCACGUG